rnacentral:rRNA from 1 species
GACGAACGCUGGCGGCGUGCUUAACACAUGCAAGUCGAACGGAAAGGCCCUGCUUUUGUGGGGUGCUCGAGUGGCGAACGGGUGAGUAACACGUGAGUAACCUGCCCUUGACUUUGGGAUAACUUCAGGAAACUGGGGCUAAUACCGGAUAGGAGCUCCUGCUGCAUGGUGGGGGUUGGAAAGUUUCGGCGGUUGGAGAUGGACUCGCGGCUUAUCAGCUUGUUGGUGGGGUAGUGGCUUACCAAGGCUUUGACGGGUAGCCGGCCUGAGAGGGUGACCGGCCACAUUGGGACUGCGAUACGGCCCAGACUGCUACGGGGGGCAGCAGUGGGGAAUAUUGCACAAUGGGCGGAAGCCUGAUGCAGCAACGCCGCGUGCGGGAUGACGGCCUUCGGGUUGUAAACCGCUUUCGCCUGUGACGAAGCGUGAGUGACGGUAAUGGGUAAAGAAGCACCGGCUAACUACGUG